UACGUAGGGUGCAAGCGUUAAUCGGAAUUACUGGGCGUAAAGCGUGCGCAGGCGGUUUUUUAAGACAGAUGUGAAAUCCCCGGGCUCAACCUGGGAACUGCAUUUGUGACUGGAUGACUAGAGUACGGCAGAGGGGGAUGGAAUUCCGCGUGUAGCAGUGAAAUGCGUAGAUAUGCGGAGGAACACCGAUGGCGAAGGCAGUCCCCUGGGCCUGUACUGACGCUCAUGCACGAAAGCGUGGGGAGCAAACAGG
rnacentral:rRNA from 1 species